rnacentral:rRNA from 1 species
AUUGAACGCUGGCGGCAGGCCUAACACAUGCAAGUCGAGCGGAUGAAGGGAGCUUGCUCCUGGAUUCAGCGGCGGACGGGUGGGUAAUGCCUAGGAAUCUGCCUGGGAGUGGGGGAUAACGUCGGGAAACGGGCGCUAAUACCGCAUACGUCCCGAGUGAGAAAGGGGGGGAUCUUCGGACCUCACGCUAUCAGAUGAGCCUAGGUCGGAUUAGAUAGUUUGUGGGGUAAAGGCCUAACAAGGCGACGCUCCGUAACUGGUCUGAGAGGAUGAUCAGGCACACUGGAACUGAGACACGGGCCAGACUCCUACGGGAAGCAGCAGUGGGGAAUUUUUGACCAUGGGCGGAAACCUGGUCCAGGCAAGCCGGGUGUGUGGAGGAGGUCCUCGGAUUGGUAAGCACUUUAAGUUGGGAGGAAGGAGAGUUGGUUAAAUCCUUGCUGUUUUGACGUUAACAGCAAAAUAAGCACCGGCUAACUUCGUU